GGACACUGGAUGGAUAUUUCCUGAUUCCACCAGACACAUUGCUAUCAGGAAAGAAGGCAACGGUUGGAAUAGUGUGUCCUCCACUGAGUGUGUUUGUCCUCUAACCUGAUACCAACAGGUCUUUCUUGCCAUGACUCCAAAUAAAAGUUUAAGAACUUUCCAACAAUCACCUCACAGGAAGAAGAUCAUCCAUGUGAGGAGGAAGUUCUUUUUCCUCAUCUCCCUGUUCAUUAUU